AAAACUGACAAAUUGCGUAUGAAGAAAGUUGAAAGAAAAAAAAAAAAAAAAAAAAAAAAAAAAACGAAAAAUGUUGAAAUAGCAAUGGAACAGGUUAUCUCUCCAUCCAGUAAAAAAAAAAAAGAAAUAAGAAAUCAAACUUUUUGUUAAUAUUUUUUGAUAAACAUUAUUCUAUUUGCCUUAUUAAUAAUACUAUAUAUUUUCUUUCUAUUAUUUAAUGCCUCGGAGCGCAGUUAUUGAAGAAGAGCAUAUAUUUAUUUAAGUUUACACGAUAUAUAUACAAUAUAUUUGUUUAUAAGUUGAUUAAAAUGUUAAAUUUUUUGUGUGUUUUUGCUGCUUCUGUAAAUUUUAAGAUUUCCUUUCUUGUGAACAACUGUACCUUUAUGCAUAUAUAUUAAAGAAAUAUUUAAAAAUAAAGCUCAUGCAUUUUU